GAAAGGAUGUAGGCAUGUAUCUUAGGCAAAUCCGGGGUACUCUAUGCUGAGAUCUGAUAGCAAGCUGUACUUGUACAGCGAAGUGGUUGAUGCCAUGCUUCCAGGAAAAGUCUCUAAGCUUCAGUUACACAGGAAUCGUACCCGAAACCGACACAGGUGGUCAGGUCGAGUAGACCAAGGCGCUUGAGAGAACUCUGCUGAAGGAACUAGGCAAAAUGGUACCGUAACUUCGGGAGAAGGUACGCUGUUGUUGGUGAUGGAACUCGCUUCCUGAGCUGACGACAGCCGCAGAAACCAGGCCGCUGCAACUGUUUAUUAAAAACAUAGCACUCUGCAAACACGAAAGUGGACGUAUAGGGUGUGAUGCCUGCCCGGUGCUGGAAGGUUAAUUGAUGGGGUUAGCGUAAGCGAAGCUCUUGAUCGAAGCCCCAGUAAACGGCGGCCGUAACUAUAACGGUCCUAAGGUAGCGAAAUUCCUUGUCGGGUAAGUUCCGACCUGCACGAAUGGCAUAAUGAUGGCGGCGCUGUCUCCAGCAGAGGCUCAGUGAAAUCGAAAUCGCUGUGAAGAUGCAGUGUACCCGCGGCUAGACGGAAAGACCCCGUGAACCUUUACUGCAGCUUGACACUGAACUUUGACCUUACUUGUGUAGGAUAGGUGGGAGGCUUUGAAGCUGGAACGCUAGUUCCAGUGGAGCCGUCCUUGAAAUACCACCCUGGUAAUGUUGAGGUUCUAACUCUGUCCCGUGAUCCGGGACGAGGACCGUGUCUGGUGGGUAGUUUGACUGGGGCGGUCUCCUCCUAAAGAGUAACGGAGGAGUACGAAGGUGCGCUCAGCGUGGUCGGAAAUCACGCGUAGAGUAUAAAGGCAAAAGCGCGCUUAACUGCGAGACCCACAAGUCGAGCAGGUACGAAAGUAGGUCUUAGUGAUCCGGUGGUUCUGUAUGGAAGGGCCAUCGCUCAACGGAUAAAAGGUACUCUGGGGAUAACAGGCUGAUACCGCCCAAGAGUUCAUAUCGACGGCGGUGUUUGGCACCUCGAUGUCGGCUCAUCUCAUCCUGGGGCUGAAGCAGGUCCCAAGGGUAUGGCUGUUCGCCAUUUAAAGAGGUACGCGAGCUGGGUUUAGAACGUCGUGAGACAGUUCGGUCCCUAUCUACCGUGGGCGCUGGAAAUUUGAGAGGAUCUGCUCCUAGUACGAGAGGACCAGAGUGGACGAACCUCUGGUGUACCGGUUGUGACGCCAGUCGCAUCGCCGGGUAGCUAUGUUCGGAAGGGAUAACCGCUGAAAGCAUCUAAGCGGGAAGCCUACCUCAAGAUAAGAUUUCCCUAGGACUUUAUGUCCUCUAAAGAGCCGUUCGAGACUAGGACGUUGAUAGGUUGGAUGUGGAAGCAUAGUGAUAUGUGAAGCUGACCAAUACUAAUUGCUCGUGAGGCUUGACUAU
rnacentral:rRNA from 1 species